rnacentral:rRNA from 1 species
UACGUAGGUGGCUAGCGUUGUCCGGAUUUACUGGGCGUAAAGAGCGCGCAGGCGGUCGUUCAAGUCGAGUGUGAAAGCCCCCGGCUCAACUGGGGAGGGUCACUCGAUACUGAUCGACUCGAAGGCAGGAGAGGGAAGCGGAAUUCCCGGUGUAGUGGUGAAAUGCGUAGAUAUCGGGAGGAACACCAGUGGCGAAGGCGCUCAUCUGGCCCAAUACUGACGCUGAUGCGCGAAAGCUAGGGGAGCAAACGGGG